rnacentral:lncRNA from 1 species
GUCAAACUCCCCUGCCCUUCUAGGCAGAGUGACUUUUCCUCAGCCAACUAAUAGUAAAACCUCUUACAGUUUGCUUCAGUUGUGGUUUUCUCUUGGGUCAUUGGGGUGCUGGCCAGCUCAUUCCAGGACUUGAGAGGAGGCCCAGCUUCUGAGGUCUUACAUUUGGGGGCUUCUCCACCAUGAUUUGUGGCCUACCCCAAUUCUCAGAGACCCUGCUUGGAGCCUACUUGGGAUGACUGUCAGCAGCUACAGAUUCUUUCACCACAGAGGAGAAGGAGAGGAUUCUGAGAGGAAAGAAAGAGCAUGCUGGGGGCCAAUUGACUACCAAUAAAACUUCUGAAUGAAAUGGAUGCAGCCUUCCCUCUGACAUGUUCUGACAGGACUGACCAUAUGGAGCAAUUGACAAUUUUCUGCUGGGCUCUGAUAAUAGGACUGAAAGGAGCUGGCAGGUGCCCCACCAAUUUGGCCAAGGUAAGAGAGAUCCUACAAGAGAAAAAGGAGCCCCCAGCAGUGUUUUUAGAAUACCUCUGAAAUGUAUAGAGGUGUUACACUACCUUUGACCCUACUUCGGCGUGCCAGCAGGUGACAGGUGUCAUGGCUUCCAUUGGGCAGUAUUCUUCUGACAUUAGGAAAAGGUUACAGCGUCUAGAGAGUCUGAAAACAUUAUCUUUACAACAUCUAUUUAAGGAGUCAGAGAAAGUGUACCAUAAGAGAGAGAGAGUGACAAGCCAGCAACAGGGUAUAUUGGGCUCUGAGUCUGCAGACACCCUGAAGGUCCCCAAAAGACCCUCAAUAGGAUCAUAAGACCUCUGGUGAAUGGAACACAACCUCUGCUCCAAUCCAAUCUCACAGGAUCUGAGACUGCAUUAAUUAGGGAAGCAGAAAAACUGGCCUGACAAUGGUCACAAGUCCCUCUGCUCUGUGCCAGCACCUGGGCAACUUGUUGGACGGAGUCUGAGGACAGCCCCAAGGUCCUCACAGAAACAUCCACGAGAUCUUAAGACCUUUGGUGAAUGGAAAACAACUUCUGCUCCAAUCCUAUCAUGCAGGACCUGAGACUGCAUUCAUUAGGGAAGCAGAUAAACCGGCCUGACCAGGGUCACAAGUCCCUUCCAAUCCAUUACAGCACCGGGGACCUUGGGGGCAGAGUCUGUGGACACCCCAAAGGUCCCAACAGGACUCUCCAUGGGAUCUUAGUAACUCUAUUGAGUGGAUUACAACAUCUGCCAGGAGGAAGGUUCGAACACCAGAUAUCUGGGACCCUUCUCUGCAAGAGGAGAUCUUGCCUGCAGAGAGUACUCUGAACACUGAAACUCAGGAGAAAACUAGUCUCCGAGGUCUGCUGAUAGAGGCUAACAUAAUCACCUGACCAUCGUUAUGGCAACUAUUAGAAAACAAAGCAUUUAAUUGGAGGCUUUGUUACAUUUUCAGAAGAUUGGUCAAUCAUCACGGGAGGUACCCCAUCACUGGAGCAAUAGAGAACUAUUGAUCCUUAGGCAAAAAGAGAGAUUCUGCCAUUGUAUUGUCUCCUUGAAAACUCAAACCCAUCCUUGUUGACACACCUAUCCUCCAAUGAAGCCACACCUUCUCGUAUUCCUUCUAAUCUUUAAACUCACUGCCACUUCCUGGUAAUGAAAUAUUCAUAUAUAUGUGUCUAUAGGGGAUUUAUUAUUCAAACCGCCACUUUUCCCAUGGCUCGAUCAGCUAUUUUUUUUUAAAUACAUCCUAAAGGGCUCCCAUUUAUUAAGGACUACUUAUGAGCUUAGCCACAGUGAUGGGUCCUCCCACAUCAAUCAUUAGCCUAGAAAAUAACCCAUAGACUUAACUAAUGACUAAGUACUUGGAGACAGAUGUUCAAUUGUUCUCUCUUCUCAGGUAACUGUAGAUUGUCAAGAUUGGGAAAAAAUAAUGUUCCAUCACAGUAAUUUUUAACUUACUCCAUAACCUACACAAACAUUACUCAACACCAUCUUCUGCAUUCUGCCCCUGCAUAGACACUCUUCCAUGUAUGGCAUAAGUGAAGGGUGACUACCUCCAUCAGCAAGGAUACUCAAUAAUAUGUGACAUGAACUGAAUAUUUCCUGUAGCCUCACAACCCCCACAUUCUACUGUGUGUUACACUUAUUGGGGGACUUGACAAUCUGUCCAAUAUCCUGCCACCAAAGUUAUG